CCCUAAAGAGCACCUCCACUGCCCCUUCCAACCACGGCAGCUCCAUGGCCAGGGACGAACCCUUCGCCGCCGCCGUGGACGUUGCCGACGGCGACUCAACCUCCUCCAGCCCAACCCUCACGCGCCUACGGGAAGCACUCGCCGCCCUCUCCGAGGCGUUCGAGUCCGGCGACGCCGCCUCCUCCGACGCAGCAGCCGCCGCCGUCGCCGAGAUCCUCAGCGCGUCCGAUGCCGACGCGUCCGCCGCGCUCGCCGAGCAGAUGCUCCGCGAGGUCCACGCGUUCCUCUCGUCCCCGUCCUCGAAUCAGAUGGCCAUGGACGCGCUGUCUCUGGAGCUUCCCAAGCCUGUGGCGAAGCUGGGUGCUCGGAUGGGGAAUUGCCGGGACAUUGCCAGGACUAUCAUUGAGUUCUUUGCGUCGAAUUGCAGCCCAAGGGACAUGCUCUGCAUCCUCUGCGAGGCAUUAGAUACACCAGUGGCAUUAAAUGGAUCAGCAUAUCUUGUUAUUCUACUAGAUGGGCUUGCCAGCACGCUUAUUUUGAUUCAGAGGAGACAUAUUGAGCAAGUAAAGGUCGUACUUCCUGCCAUCCUUCGAGUUAUGCAUGCUAAUUUAUCAGAAUGUGAUGAGGAACAUGGAAUGUCUGCUGUUGAUCUGUUCAGUGCAGCCCUCAGAAUAGGCAAUGCUAUACAAGAAAUGUGCAAAACAAUGGUCAACCACAGGAAGGAAGAGCUAUGUUCUAUACUUGGUCUAUACGCCCUUCAAAACAUAGCUCUUUUGCAGGCUCUUGUAUCAUCAGAAAGCAAACAUCAGAAUAUUCAGUCUACUUGUGGUUCAGUUGUUCUUCAAUAUUCUAAACUUCUUAUGUUUUGCGGGUUCACCUAUUUGGGUCUUUUAACUGGUAAUGAUGUGACCUCAGCCACCACUAAGCUUUCUAAAGAAGAGGACGACAAUUUUCUGGACUGCUUUUCUUUUGCUAUGGACGGUGCAAGUCUUGUAGUUGUGUGGACCUCUAUGCAUGAUGAUAUGUCAAAAUAUGCUGGAGCAGAGUUUGAAUCAGCACUGAAAGAAGUUCAAGACAAUUGUAUUAGGAAAUGGGAAGCAAUCAACAUGUUUAGAUAUGUCUUGUCUUCAGUUAAUUACUCAUGGGCAAUCAAAUCUCACAGUCUGGACUUAUUGUUGACUUUAGUUGAUGAUAAGUGUAGUGAGGAAACCAACGAUCAUGUAGAUUUCCCAUGUUCCACUCAAAUUUUUGCCAUACUCAAGGCCAUUGAAAGAGUCAUGAUAGCUGCCCCAGAUACGUUGAUGCGGAAGAAAGCCUUUUCUGCCCUGAAAAGGGUUAUUUCAGUGGUGCCAUCCACUCAGAGAUUUGAUAUCUUACAGGCCCUCAUUGAGAAUAGUAUGUUCCCCUCCUUGACUGCAAUUCUUUUAGAUCUGGUGAAGAAUGAAGUUUUGAGAGAGAGCCGUCGAGCUGAUCAGGUUAAUGGAUCUGAUCGAUCACAAGAUUCUGGGGAAUCACCACCCUGGGCUUCUCAGGUGCUUGAGUUAGUGGAGCUGAUCUUGAGGCCUCCAGAAGGUGGUCCUCCUUGUCUUCGUGAUCACAGUGAAGAGGAUAGGGUGCCACUCAGACUGGUAAGCUAUCCCACUGAGAAUUGCAAUCCCAAAUACUUGCAAGGGAAAUUCCCAAUCUGGCAGGGGACCAGAGGCCAUACCGAAAAUUGUCAAAGCUUCUCCAGCUAUCGUCGUGAAUGAAAGAGACAAGCUGAGAAUCUAGAACACUGUCAGGCAAUCGUGCGUUCCAGCGAAGACAAGCUGAGAAUGAAAGCUUCAAGGAUCUUCUCAACCAUAUUUCCGUCGGGGACUGAAGCCUUGAGUCCUAAGCAGCAUCUAAACGCAUAAUCACUGCAUCGGCAAUCACUUGCCGCAUUCCUGAAAAGAGUGAUCCAGAACGCUUUAAGGGGUCAGCGAUCGCUGGACUGCACUUCCACGCGGCUGGACUGCACUUCCACGCCUCCUUGAUAGCCUCCUUAAAUCCUUCCAGCUUGGCCCAGAAUUCACAUCGCUCCUGGGGGAAAAGCCCGCAUUUAUUAGAGGGAGAUGAAAAGGAAAAUGAUCGGAGAUAGCAGUUGAUAGCACCUGUAGUAGGCAGUCAGGAUAAAACAGUUCCCAGUCCACUGUCUAUGAUGAUAUUUUGAGCAUCGACGUCAUUUCUCCAAGCAUGUGUUUUCGAAGUGUUAUCUGCUCUGAACUUGCUCAGAUUGAUUCUGAUAAUAGAUUCAAGAGGAUCCAGAUCAGCAAAAAUGUUGCGGGACGAAAAAAUACGAGCCGUGUACUCAGAGUGGCUGCUCCCACUAAGAUCAGUUGUUACAGGGAUUCAAUCGGAACUCGAGAAAGACGGCGGUGACGACGAAAAUCAGAUGGCGUGCUUGUUAAAUCCUGUUCAACUCGUACUUCACCGCUGCAUUGAGUUGGUGGAGGAAAAGAUGAAAGGUUUGUAAUGCUUGUACAGUGCUUAGCGCAGUGUUGG